AUAUUUAAGAGAAAGACCAGUUUCAGUUUAUUUAAAGGAAAGGUCGACAUGUAACAUCAAAGUUUCAUGGACUGGCCUGACUGAGUUCAAGAA